AGAGUUUGAUCAUGGCUCAGAUUGAACGCUGGCGGCAUGCUUAAUACAUGCAAGUCGAACGGUAACAGAUUCUUCGGAAUGCUGACGAGUGGCGGACGGGUGAGUAAUACAUAGGAAUCUGCCCAUGUAGUGGGGGACAACUUGGGGAAACUCAAGCUAAUACCGCAUAAUUCCUACGGGAUAAAGAGGGCCACUGCUUGCAAGCUCUUGCUACUGGAUGAGCCUAUGUCGGAUUAGUUAGUUGGUAAGGUAAUGGCUUACCAAGACAGCAAUCCGUAGCUGGUUUGAGAGGAUGAUCAGCCACACUGGGACUGAGACACGGCCCAGACUCCUACGGGAGGCAGCAGUAGGGAGUAUUGGACAAUGGGCGCAAGCCUGAUCCAGCAAUGCCGCGUGUGUGAAGAAGGCCUGCGGGUUGUAAAGCACUUUCAAUUGGGAAGAAAGAUUAUGAGUUAAUACCUUAUAAUAUUGACG
rnacentral:rRNA from 1 species